rnacentral:rRNA from 1 species
CACGUAGGGCGCAAGCGUUGUCCGGAAUUAUUGGGCGUAAAGAGCUCGUAGGCGGACUGUCACGUCUGCUGUGAAAAGCUGGGGCUUAACCCUGGCCUUGCAGUGGAUACGGGCAGACUAGAGGUAGGUAGGGGAGAACGGAAUUCCUGGUGUAGCGGUGAAAUGCGCAGAUAUCAGGAGGAACACCUAUGGCGAAGGCAGCUCGCUGGGACGUUACUGACGCUGAGACGCGAAAGCGUGGGGAGCAAACAGG